rnacentral:rRNA from 1 species
CCCUUAGAUGUUCUGGGCCGCACGCGCGCUACACUGACUACUUCAACGAGUUGUUUCCUUGAUCGAAAGGUCUGGGUAAUCUUUGAAAGGUAGUCGUGAUGGGGAUAGAUCCUUGCAAUUUUUGAUCUUCAACGAGGAAUUCCUAGUAAACGCAAGUCAUCGGCUUGCAUUGAUUACGUCCCUGCCCUUUGUACACACCGCCCGUCGCACCUACCGAUUGAAUGGUCCGGUGAAUCUUUAGGACUGUGGCUGAGGCCUUGCCUUGUGCGGGUCUGGCCGUGGGAAUUUAGUUAAACCUUACCAUUUAGAGGAAGGUGAAGUCGUAACA